UCAAAUGGAAACGAACCCUAUAAAGAAAACCAAUUAUUUUACCUCAUCAUGGAAAAUUCUUCAUGAUAUCAUAGAAUUUCUUACAAAUUUUGUGUCAUUGUGGUUAGAGAGCUGUCACAAAGUCCUCAUGGAUGGAGAACAACUCCGAAAGACUGUUUUGGGAUUUGGCUUGAUCAAAAUGAAGAUUACAACACAAAUUUAUG
rnacentral:lncRNA from 1 species